ensembl:ncRNA Y17G7B.24 ncRNA
AUUCGGUAAAAAAAGAGGAAAAAUAAAAUAAAAUAAUAAAUUUAUUUCAGUGCAAUGUAACGUGACGGUGUACACACACCAAAUACACCACAUCCGACGCGCAACUCAAUUCCCACUGGGUACUGUACUUGGCGGAUU